UGUCUAUAAGGCUGCCGUAAUGAUGGAGCAAAACUACGUUCCUGACGACAUACCACACGGUCCUUAUUCAACAUGAAGCUUUUCCUUCUGAUGGUUCUAGUUACUUUCUUCACUGGCUCAGUUGAGUGCUGGUCCAGGGAUUAUGGAUGAUACAAUGGUUAAAAUUGAUGCCCAAAAGCAACGUGUAUAGAGAGAGACAGAAAUGGGAGCAGCAUAUCUCAAGAUGGAGACCGAGCUUUUAUCGAUAAAAGCGUUAUAGUUGUGAUGAUUGACGAUUUUGUGUCGGUUUCAUAAAA